ensembl:snRNA U4 U4 spliceosomal RNA
AGCUUUGCACAGUGGCAGUAUCAUAGCCAAUGAGGUUUAUCCGAGGCACGAUUAUUGCUAAUUAAAACAUACUUUAAAAUAACUC